rnacentral:sRNA from 1 species
UCAGAAUACGCGGAGCAGCGUGCUCCCACC